UACGUAGGGGGCAAGCGGUUGUCCGGAUUUAUUGGGCGUAAAGAGCGUGUAGGCGGUUUUACAAGUCCGCUGUGAAGACUCGAGGCUCAACCUCGAGCGUGUCGGUGGAAACUGUAAGGCUAGAGUCCGGAAGAGGAGAGUGGAAUUCCCGGUGUAGCGGUGAAAUGCGCAGAUAUCGGGAAGAACACCCGUGGCGAAGGCGGCUCUCUGGGACGGUACUGACGCUGAGACGCGAAAGCGUGGGGAGCGAACAGG
rnacentral:rRNA from 1 species